rnacentral:rRNA from 1 species
GUCUGCAACUCGACUACAUGAAGCUGGAAUCGCUAGUAAUCGCGGAUCAGAAUGCCGCGGUGAAUACGUUCCCGGGUCUUGUACACACCGCCCGUCACACCAUGGGAGUCGAUAACGCCCGAAGUCAGUGACCCAACCUGUAAGGAGGGAGCUGCCGAAGGCGGGAUUGAUAACUGGGGUGAAGUCGUAACAAGGUAAC